rnacentral:rRNA from 1 species
ACUCCUACGGGAGGCAGCAGUAGGGAAUAUUGGUCAAUGGGCGCAAGCCUGAACCAGCCAUGCCGCGUGGAGGAUGACUGCCCUCAGGGUUGUAAACUCCUUUUAUAUAGGAAGAAACCUUUGGAUUUACUCCGAAGCUGACGGUACUAUAUGAAUAAGCACCGGCUAACUCCGUGCCAGCAGCCGCGGUAAUACGGAGGGGUGCAAGCGUUAUCCGGAUUCACUGGGUUUAAAGGGUGCGCAGGCGGGGAAAUUAAGUCAGUGGUGAAAGCCCCGAGCUCAACUUGGGAACUGCCAUUGAUACUGAUUUUCUUGAAUAUAGUUGAGGCUGGCGGAAUACAACAUGUAGCGGUGAAAUGCAUAGAUAUGUUGUAGAACACCAAUUGCGAAGGCAGCUAGCUAAACUAUUAUUGACGCUGAGGCACGAAAGCGUGGGGAGCGAACAGGAUUAGAUACCCUGGUAGGAUAGCG